UUACGCCCAUAUCACGUUGAAACACUGGUUCCCAUAUGAUCACCGAAGUUAAGCAACGUCGAGCCUGGUCAGUAUCUAGAUAGAUGACCGAUUGAGAAUAAUAUGUGCU